AGAAUACUAUGUGUAGUGGAAUACUGCAUAGUAGCCUAGUCAAGCAGGCAACCUUGAUUAGGGGGAGGGACGAGCUGAUUGCUUGUUAGACUGAGGCUAUUUAAGUCAGCCUGGUUCCUCCACUUGCAGGACAUUUUCCCUCUAUGGCAUGCUAGCGCAAACGCUUUCACAGAGGUGAAUGGCGGUCCCACUCGGUGUGCAUCUACUGGCAUUAGAGAUCACUGAAUUCGCUAUGACUCCCUGGCGGCCUCCACAUUUCCGCAUUCGGUAUGGGUAGAUAUUGACAGCGCAGGUAAUAUCUGCUUCAUAAGGAUUGCAGUGAUUUAGUGUUGCCUAAUUGUAAUGUUGAACUGCCUUGCCCCAUGUCAAGCUUAUCUGGGUGCCUCUGUGUUUUAGGGGUGCCAUCAACUGGUUGCUGUUUUGCCCGGGUGUAAUUGUGUGUAAUUGUUUGCCUUUGUCUGCGUUGGAUUCCUCCCUCGUGAGGCGGUGAUUGUAACCCAACUGUAGCGCAUACUAACUUUGCCUCUUAAUGGGGUCGUGGGAGAGAAAAACUUUAAGAAGAGAAGACUGGUGCACAAUCCCAAGCUUGCGGAAGCAGUACGCCGCCUUCACAACUCGGAGACAAAUUGCAGGCGCUACGAACUGGAGCAAGGACUAAUCUCGCCUCAUAAUGAGGCGGUGACCUCCUAUUUGCUCGGAACAAUAUCUGCAAGUCCAGAUUUACACGAUGUUGAUAGACGACAUUGUGUCCGCCUGUAAGACAUAUUACGAGACGGUACGCAGGAGCUUUAGAUAUACCCAGCCAGAAAACUCAUUGCGGGCGGAAGCUGCGAAGAGUUCAGCUCGGAGUCGAGCGAGAAGAAAGAGGCUGCUGGAAUCGAGACAGAGUGUGCUAGCAGAUGACUAGGUGGAACUCUGGA